rnacentral:lncRNA from 1 species
AGAAAUAGGUAGACACAGCUAUUAAAGGAAGGACACAAAAUAAGUUAACUACAGGGACAGACAGAAUUGAGAUGUUAUUUUUCCUUCCUUUCUGAAAAAGACAGUAAUUGAAGCACAGCUGUAUUCUAAGGGAAAAAAGCCAGAUCACAGGAAUAGGCUGAAAACUCAAAAGAGAGAAAGGAUAUUUGAGAAGCAAGGUCUGUGAAGAAGCUAUAGCUUUAGACAGGAGUAAAUUUCUUUCCUAAUUAUGGGAAGAAGCAAGGCAAAGUGGUUUAACAUGGAGAGGACUGUAUGUGCGGGUAAUAAUUAGAUGGAGUUGUUGCCUGAUAGCUUUUAUCACCUUCAUCAUCUGCUUCAUGGGAGGACAG